GCCUUCGUAGCUCAGUUGGGAGAGCGCUUGCCACAUAGAGGCAUGGUGUUUCUGUUGCUGGUUCGAAUGCAGCCGAAGCCC